rnacentral:rRNA from 1 species
GAUGAACGCUAGCUACAGGCUUAACACAUGCAAGUCGAGGGGAAACGAUAUUGGAAGCUUGCUUCCGAUAGGCGUCGACCGGCGCACGGGUGAGUAACGCGUAUCCAACCUGCCCACCACUUGGGGAUAACCUUGCGAAAGUAAGACUAAUGCCCAAUGACGUCCAUAGAAGACAUCUGAAAUGGAUUAAAGAUUUAUCGGUGAUGGAUGGGGAUGCGUCUGAUUAGCUUGUUGGCGGGGAAACGGCCCACCAAGGCGACGAUCAGUAGGGGGUCUGCGGGGAAGGUCCCCAACAUUGGAACUGAGACACGGGCCAAACUCCUACGGUAGGCAGCGGUGAGGAAUAGUGGUCAAUGGGCGGGAGCCUGAACCAGCCAGGUAGCGUGCAGGAUGACGGCCCUAUGGGUUGUAAACUGCUUUUAUAAGGGAAUAAAAUGAGUCUCGUGAGGCUUGUUGCAUGUACCUUAUGAAUAAGGACCGGCUAAGUCCGUGCCAGCAGCCGCAGUAA